GCCCUCUUAGCUCAUCUGGGAGAGCGUACGACUGAAGUUCGUAAGGUAGCCUGUUCGAUCCAGGCAGAGGGCA
rnacentral:tRNA from 1 species